rnacentral:rRNA from 1 species
UACAGAGGCCACGAGCGUUAGGCGGAAUCACUGGGCUUAAAGCGUGUGUAGGUGGAUCGGUAAGUACCUUGUGAAAUCCCACGACUCAAUCGUGGAACUGCUUGGUAUACUGCCAGUCUUGAGGCACUCAGGGGCGAGCGGAACAGAUGGUGGAGCGGUGAAAUGCGUAGAUAUCGGGAGGAACACCAGUGGCGAAGGCGGCUCUCUGGGCAGGUACCGACGCUGAGACGCGAAAGCGUGGGAAGCAAACAGG